rnacentral:snoRNA from 1 species
AACCCGUGCAUCAUACAUUUUCAAAUUAAAUCUUUAAAUCGUUCCCAAACUUCAUAUAGUGUUUCAUCUUCCUUUUACCGAAAACAUGUGAUGUCAUUUCUAGACU